AGAGUUUGAUCCUGGCUCAGGACGAACGCUGGCGGUGCGCCUUAUGCAUGCAAGUCGAGCGAAGCUUUUCAGUAGUUUACUACAGAAAAUGACUGAGCGGCGAACGGGUGAGUAACGCGUGAGCAAUCUACCUUAGUUACAGGGAUAGCCCGAGGAAACUCGGAUUAAUACCUGAUAUUCUUUAUAUUUCGCAUGAAAUUAAAAGGAAAGGUCAGCCGAACUAAGAUGAGCUCGCGUUCUAUCAGCUAGUUGGUGAGGUAAAAGCUCACCAAGGCUACGACGGAUAGCUGGUCUGAGAGGACGAUCAGCCACACUGGGACUGAGACACGGCCCAGACUCCUACGGGAGGCUGCAGCAGGGAAUAUUGCGCAAUGAGCGAAAGCUUGACGCAGCGACACCGCGUGUGGGAUGACGGAUCUAGGUUUGUAAACCACUUUCAGGAGGGAAGAAAAUGACGGUACCUCCACAAGAAGCCCCGGCCAACUACGUGCCAGCAGCCGCGGUAAUACGUAGGGGGCGAGCGUUGUCCGGAUUUAUUGGGCGUAAAGAGCUCGUAGGCGGUUCAACAAGUCGGUCGUGAAAGUUCAGGGCUCAACCCUGAAAUGUCGAUCGAUACUGUUGUGACUAGGAUACGGUAGAGGUGAGUGGAAUUCCGAGUGUAGCGGUGAAAUGCGUAGAUAUUCGGAGGAACACCAAUUGCGAAGGCAGCUCACUGGGCCGCUAUCGACGCUGAGGAGCGAAAGCUAGGGGAGCAAACAGGAUUAGAUACCCUGGUAGUCCUAGCUGUAAACGAUGGAUACUAGACGUAGGAACUGGGUUGACGGUUUCUGUGUCGCAGCUAACGCGUUAAGUAUCCCGCCUGGGGAGUACGGUCGCAAGACUAAAACUCAAAGGAAUUGACGG
rnacentral:rRNA from 1 species